CUGGAAGCCGCUCUCCUGGCCGGCGGCCGCGCCCGCCCGCCGGUCCCCUGCCCAGAAGCUCCGCCCGCCGGUGUCCCAACCCCCGCGGAGGUAGGGGCUGCGGCGGAGGGAGCAAAGGCAAGCUCGCUCCAUUCAGAGCUCCCCAUUCAGUCAUUUUCAUUCAGUUUCGUCAGUCACAAGACAACAGAUACAUGCUCGAGAGCACAGGCUUCAACUUCAACCCUUGGAUCUUCAUUAGAAGGUUGUGGCUACUCUGUUUUAUUCACUUCCAACUUGUAGUUUCAGAUGCUAAACAAUAUUUAUUAGCUUUGCCGUCGUUGAACUAAGCAACAUUUACAUGCUACUGUAUGUAAUGUGCCUAUGGAUAUGACCUAAGACUUCUAUUUCUAAUGUGGCCAAGACUUUUAUGUGGCUUUUAAAUUAUUGUGUGUGCUGUUCCUUGA